rnacentral:misc_RNA from 1 species
GUCUUGAAAUAAUUCGUAUGUGCGAUCGUAUCUAUUUAGAAUCGUAUACAUCGAUUUUAUCUAUCAGUUUAAAGGAUUUGGAGACAAACAAUAGCAUGUUUCAACGAAUUAGGAACGAUUUUAUGAUUGUACGAUACUUGAGGCAGAUCGGGAAUUAGUCGAGAAUAAUGCAGAUGAAAUAUUGCCGAAA